rnacentral:rRNA from 1 species
UACGUAGGGUGCGAGCGUUGCCCGGAUUUAUUGGGCGUAAAGGGCGCGUAGGCGGCUCGGCACGUCCGUUGUGAAAUCGCCCGGCUCAACUGGGCGGGGUCAGCGGAUACGGUCGAGCUUGAGCAAGCUAGGGGGCAAUGGAAUUCCCGGUGUAGUGGUGGAAUGCGUAGAUAUCGGGAGGAACACCAGUGGCGAAGGCGGCUUACUGGUCCAUAACUGACGCUGAGGUGCGAAAGCGUGGGGAGCAAACAGG